GCCUCGGUAGCGCAGUAGGCAGCGCGUCAGUCUCAUAAACACAAACCGAGAAAUCUGAAGGUCGAGAGUUCGAUCCUCUCCUGGGGCA
rnacentral:tRNA from 1 species